AGCCCGUUGGUGUGCGGCACGCUGCGGUCCGUACCCGGCCCGGGGCCCGCGCCCGCGCCCGGGUGGAAGCGGGCCUUGGCGUAGUUGCUCACGAACUGGUCCUGCAGGAAAGAGCCGGCCAUGGCGUAGCGGGCCCCGGGCACGAUCUGCGAGCGCGGCGAGUCGUUGGGCGAGGGGGUCAGGCGGUCCAUGUCACAGCCGGUGUAGAUCCUGCGGAGCAAGAUACAGACCAUCAAGGGAACGACUUCCCUCUUCUCUUGCUCUCUCUCGUCAAGUGUACUGGGGUACUGAGAGAGGGGCACAAGCAAGGACUUUCAUCCCACUUCUCCAACAUAUGUGUGCACAUUAAGGCAGAUUUACCUAGGGAGUAAGAUGCUCUUUGCCCAGUGGGCCUUUCCUCUGCGGUCAGUUUAUGAGUGAAAUUUCUAAGCAAGAUUGUUUCAGAAACCCCUAGGAAAAAGCCGCGCACGCAGUAAUCAUGAAAGACUGGCCUUCACCCGUGUUCUGGAACCCGAGGUUUGCUGCUGGAAGCCUCCAAAGUACUUAGUGUCUAUUGUUUCCCCUGUGUGAAACUUUCACUCCCACCUCUACUAAUACAAACAAGAAUUACUACUCUGAA
rnacentral:lncRNA from 1 species